rnacentral:rRNA from 1 species
UGGCUCAGAUUGAACGCUGGCGGCAGGCCUAACACAUGCAAGUCGAGCGGUAACAGGUCCAGCUUGCUGGACGCUGACGAGCGGCGGACGGGUGAGUAAUGCAUAGGAAUCUACCCAGUCGUGGGGGAUAACCUGGGGAAACCCAGGCUAAUACCGCAUACGUCCUACGGGAGAAAGCGGGGGCUCUUCGGACCUCGCGCGAUUGGAUGAGCCUAUGUCGGAUUAGCUGGUUGGUGGGGUAACGGCUCACCAAGGCGACGAUCCGUAGCUGGUCUGAGAGGAUGAUCAGCCACACUGGGACUGAGACACGGCCCAGACUCCUACGGGGAGG